CCUACGGGUGGCAGCAGUGAGGAAUAUUGGUCAAUGGGCGCGAGCCUGAACCAGCCAAGUAGCGUGAAGGAAGACUGCCCUACGGGUUGUAAACUUCUUUAAUAAGGGAAUAAAGGGAGGCACGUGUGCCCUUUUGCAUGUACUUUAUGAAUAAGGAUCGGCUAACCCCGUGCCAGCAGCCGCGGUAAUAUGGAGGAUGCGAGCGUUACCCGGAUUUAGUGUGUUUAAAGGGAGCGUAGGUGGGUUGUUAAGUCAGUUGUGAAAGUUUGCGGCUCAACCGUAAAAUUGCAAUUGAUACUGGCAGUCUUGAGUACAGUUGAGGGAGGCAGAAUUCGUGGUGUAGCGGUGAAAUGCGUAGAGAUCACGAAGAACUCCGAUUGCGAAGGCAGCUUCCUAAACAACGACUGACAUUGAGGCGCGAAAGCGUGGGGAGCAAACAGGAUUAGAUACCCUUGUAGUC
rnacentral:rRNA from 1 species